CUGAAAGCUGAGAAGAAAAUGAGAAGAUCUGGUUUCAAGACUGUCACUGGGUGACACUGCCAAGAGUUGCCUCUGCAUGUCAGCACUUGGAUCAGACAGGUGAACUCUUGAAAGCUGAGCCUUGGCAUAAAUCAGACGGGGAGAGUCAGAAAUGCAAACACUGUGUGUGGAAAGAAAAACAGGCCUGAAGAAGAUGACCACAGCUUCAAAAACCACUUUAGCGCAAAAUGUCGUCUGACAGAAGGAAGACACCUCUCUCUAAGAAAAUAUAUCUGAAACCCACUAUAGCAUAUUCCUUUUUGGAACAAAGUAUUUUCUGAUAUGGGGUUCAGGGAGAAGACAAGAUGGAAAAGCUCACGGAUCUGAGCAAAGACAGAGAGAUUGCUUACCAGUUGCUAUCAUGGUCAGAACAGACUUAACUGCCAAUUAAAAAUAGAGUGGAAUGGUUCAGCUGUGUGCAUUUUCCACCUGGCUGCAGUGAGACUGAAUGGAAGAUACCAAAUGUUGUUCUCACGAAGAAAAACUUGUGCAAGGGAGUGCUCACGCUGAAUUGGGUGAGGCCACAAACUGCGAGUAUGAACCUUAUGUAUGCAAAGUCUCAGCUGAAUGUGGUAAUGAACAAGGUCAUGGCUUAUGUAUUACUGGAAUGAAACCAGGUACAGUGAUACCAACCAGCCCAUGAAAUCAGAUUUGUGCCUUAUCUAUGAGCAUUGUCAGACUGUUUGCUUGUUUGCUUCUUUGAUUCUAAAUGUGACCUUUUAGCUGAUUAUGGGUCACCUAUUGAAGGGCUAUUUGGAGAAUGAGGUGCCAGGAAUAGAGCAGUGCAGUAAACCAAAAGGUUGAAAAAGGUUAGUAACUGCAUUUGGUGGGGGAUGUGUUUUUGCACACCUUCUUCUGAAAGAUUUUUCAGAAUAUAUUGAAUUUCUGAGGUAGCUGGUAUUAGGUUCCUCCAAAAGGCAACAGCUUCAGAAACUUAGAUUCUACAGGUCUACUAAAGAACUACAGU